CUCAGCUAAGGUCCUCAUCUCAGCACUACUAACUGAGCAACCAUGGGCAAAACUCACCGGGCGUCGCACUCUGCCAAAUCCGUCGACACGCCGAAAAGUGCCACUUCAUCCUCCAUGCGGCAAUAUCUACUAUCCCGCGCCGACACGGCAUCUCAGGCCUCUAACGACUCAGAGGUGUCUGGCGCCUCCCGCCCAGCAUCACCACGUGGUGACCGCCAGACAUCGCCAACCCAGACACCCCUGGACCCCCAACCUGAUUGGGUGCAACUUAUCCGGG